UGCUUAACACAUGCAAGUCGCACGAGAACGCUUCAGCUUGCUGAAGUUAGUAAAGUGGCGUACGGGUGAGUAACGCGUGGGUAAUCUACCCCCGAAUUGGGGAUAACCCGCCGAAAGGCGUGCUAAUACCGAAUGAUAUCUUGAAAAUUUCGGUUUUCGAGAUCAAAGGUGACCUCUACAUGUAAGUUACCGUUUGGGGAUGAGCCCGCGUACCAUUAGCUUGUUGGUAGGGUAACGGCCUACCAAGGCGACGAUGGUUAGCUGGUCUGAGAGGAUGAUCAGCCACACUGGAACUGACACACGGUCCAGACUCCUACGGGAGGCAGCAGUGAGGAAUUUUGCGCAAUGGGGGAAACCCUGACGCAGCAACGCCGCGUGAGUGAUGAAGGCUUUCGGGUCGUAAAGCUCUGUCAAGUGGGAAGAACCCACAUGGUGCCAAUACCACCAUGUGCUGACGGUACCACUGAAGGAAGCACCGGCUAACUCCGUGCCAGCAGCCGCGGUAACACGGGGGGUGCAAGCGUUAUUCGGAAUUACUGGGCGUAAAGAGCGCGUAGGCGGUCUCUUAAGUCAGGUGUGAAAGCCCGGGGCUCAACCCCGGAAGUGCACUUGAAACUAAGGGACUUGAGUAUGGGAGAGGGAAGUGGAAUUCCUGGUGUAGCGGUGAAAUGCGUAGAUAUCAGGAGGAACACCGGUGGCGAAGGCGACUUCCUGGACCAAUACUGACGCUGAGGCGCGAAGGCGUGGGGAGCAAACAGGAUUAGA
rnacentral:rRNA from 1 species